CUACGGGAUGCAGCAGUGAGGAAUAUUGCACAAUGGGGGCAACCCUGAUGCAGCAACGCCGCGUGGAGGAUGACGCAUUUCGGUGUGUAAACUCCUUUUAUCAGAGAAGAACCAUGACGGUAUCUGAUGAAUAAGCUCCGGCUAACUCCGUGCCAGCAGCCGCGGUAAUACGGAGGGAGCAAGCGUUAUUCGGAAUCACUGGGCGUAAAGGACGCGUAGGCCGGUCUGUAAGUCAGGUGUGAAAUGCAAUGGCUCAACCAUUGAACUGCACUUGAAACUGCGGACCUAGAGUAUGGAAAGGGCAGAUGGAAUUAGUGGUGUAGGGGUAAAAUCCGUAGAUAUCACUAGGAAUACCGAAAGCGAAGGCGAUCUGCUGGGACAUAACUGACGCUGAGGCGUGAAAGCGUGGGGAGCAAACAGGAUUAGAUACCCUAGUAGUC
rnacentral:rRNA from 1 species